GUAGGUGGCAAGCGUUGUCCGGAAUUAUUGGGCGUAAAGCGCGCGCAGGCGGUCCUUUAAGUCUGAUGUGAAAGCCCACGGGCUCAACCGUGGAGGGUCAUUGGAAACUGGGGGACUUGAGUACAGAAGAGGAGAGCGGAAUUCCAAGUGUAGCGGUGAAAUGCGUAGAGAUUUGGAGGAACACCAGUGGCGAAGGCGGCUUUCUGGUCUGUAACUGACGCUGAGGCGUGAAAGCGUGGGGAGCAAACAGGAUUAGAUACCCUGGUAGUCCACGCCGUAAACGAUGAGUGCUAAGUGUUAGGGGGGUUUCCGCCCCUUAGUGCUGCAGCUAACGCAUUAAGCACUCCGCCUGGGGAGUACGGCCGCAAAGGCUG
rnacentral:rRNA from 1 species